rnacentral:rRNA from 1 species
GACGGAGGAUGCAAGCGUUUAUCCGGAAUGAUUGGGCGUAAAGCGUCCGCAGGUGGCAGUUCAAGUCUGCUGUCAAAGACCGGGGCUUAACUUCGGAAAGGCAGUGGAAACUGAACAGCUAGAGUAUGGUAGGGGCAGAGGGAAUUCCUGGUGUAGCGGUGAAAUGCGUAGAGAUCAGGAGGAACACCGGUGGCGAAGGCGGGUCUCUGGGCCGAUGACUGACGCUGAGGAGCGAAAGCGUGGGGAGCGAACAGG